UGGGGAAUUUUGGACAAUGGGGGAAACCCUGAUCCAGCCAUCCCGCGUGUGCGAUGAAGGCCUUCGGGUUGUAAAGCACUUUUGGCAGGAAAGAAACGUCAUGGGUUAAUACCCCGUGAAACUGACGGUACCUGCAGAAUAAGCACCGGCUAACUACGUGCCAGCAGCCGCGGUAAUACGUAGGGUGCAAGCGUUAAUCGGAAUUACUGGGCGUAAAGCGUGCGCAGGCGGUUCGGAAAGAAAGAUGUGAAAUCCCAGAGCUCAACUUUGGAACUGCAUUUUUAACUACCGGGCUAGAGUGUGUCAGAGGGAGGGGGAAUUCCGCGUGUAGCAGUGAAAUGCGUAGAUAUGCGGAGGAACACCGAUGGCGAAGGCAGCCUCCUGGGAUAACUCUGACGCUCAUGCACGAAAGCGUGGGGAGCAAACAGG
rnacentral:rRNA from 1 species